rnacentral:rRNA from 1 species
GACGAACGCUGGCGGCGUGCCUAAUACAUGCAAGUCGAACGCAGUGGCGAACGGGUGAGUAACGCGUAAUCAACCUGCCCUUCAGAGGGGGAUAACAGUUGGAAACGACUGCUAAUACCGAAUACUGAAGGAGGGGAUUGCGUCUGAUUAGGUAGUUGGAGGGGUAACGGCCCACGAAGGCGAUGAUCAGGAGCCGGUGUGAUAGGAUGAACGGGCAAAUGGGGACUGAGACACGGCCCAGACUCCUACGGGAGGCAGAAGUGGGGAAGCUUCCGAAAUGGAAGAAAGUCUGACGGAGCAACGCCGCGUGAGUGAUGACGGCCUGCGGGUUGUAAAGCUCUGUUAAUCGGGACGCGGUACCGGAAUAGAAAGCCACGGCUAACUACGUGCCAGCAGCCGCGGUAAUAC